UGGGGAAUAUUGGACAAUGGGCGCAAGCCUGAUCCAGCCAUGCCGCGUGAGUGAUGAAGGCCCUAGGGUUGUAAAGCUCUUUCACCGGUGAAGAUAAUGACGGUAACCGGAGAAGAAGCCCCGGCUAACUUCGUGCCAGCAGCCGCGGUAAUACGAAGGGGGCUAGCGUUGUUCGGAUUUACUGGGCGUAAAGCGCACGUAGGCGGACUAUUAAGUCAGGGGUGAAAUCCCGGGGCUCAACCCCGGAACUGCCUUUGAUACUGGUAGUCUUUGGUUCGAGAGAGGUGAGUGGAAUUCCGAGUGUAAAGGGGAAAUUCGUAGAUAUUCGGAGGAACACCAGUGGCGAAGGCGGCUCACUGGCUCGAUACUGACGAUGGGGGGCGAAAGCGUGGGGAGCAAACAGG
rnacentral:rRNA from 1 species